UACCCUGUAUAUAUAUAAUUCUGUCCGCAUUCACGCCUAUUGAUUCUCCUUUCUAACACUCCUCAGCAGCCAGCCAGACAGAGAAUCUAGAGAGAGCGAGGCGGCCGGCCAUCGUCUCCGGAGUCAAAUCUCGUUUUCUCUCACUCUCAGUGUUUAAUAGAAAAUGGCAGAUGCUGAGGAUAUUCAGCCACUUGUUUGUGACAAUGGAACUGGAAUGGUGAAGGCUGGAUUUGCUGGUGAUGAUGCUCCAAGAGCAGUGUUUCCCAGUAUUGUGGGUCGCCCCCGUCACACUGGUGUUAUGGUUGGGAUGGGACAGAAGGAUGCCUAUGUGGGUGAUGAAGCCCAGUCUAAGAGAGGUAUCUUGACCUUGAAAUACCCCAUUGAGCAUGGUAUUGUUAGCAACUGGGAUGAUAUGGAAAAGAUCUGGCAUCACACUUUCUACAAUGAGCUUCGUGUUGCACCUGAGGAGCACCCUGUCCUUCUUACCGAGGCACCCCUCAACCCAAAAGCAAACAGAGAGAAGAUGACACAAAUCAUGUUUGAGACAUUUAAUGUUCCUGCAAUGUAUGUUGCUAUUCAGGCUGUGCUAUCCUUGUAUGCCAGUGGACGUACAACUGGUAUUGUGCUGGAUUCUGGUGAUGGUGUGAGCCAUACUGUACCCAUCUAUGAAGGUUAUGCCCUUCCUCAUGCCAUUCUUCGUUUGGACCUUGCUGGCCGUGACCUCACCGAUCACCUUAUGAAGAUCCUAACUGAGAGAGGUUACAUGUUCACUACUACUGCUGAGCGGGAAAUUGUCCGUGACAUGAAGGAAAAGCUUGCAUAUGUGGCCCUUGACUAUGAGCAGGAGCUUGAAACUGCAAAGAGCAGCUCCUCUGUUGAGAAGAACUAUGAGUUGCCUGAUGGGCAGGUCAUCACUAUCGGAGCAGAGAGGUUCCGUUGCCCAGAAGUCCUCUUCCAGCCAUCUAUGAUUGGAAUGGAAGCUGCUGGUAUUCACGAGACUACUUACAACUCCAUUAUGAAGUGUGAUGUAGAUAUCAGGAAGGAUCUCUACGGUAAUAUUGUUCUCAGUGGUGGCUCUACGAUGUUCCCUGGUAUUGCUGAUCGGAUGAGCAAGGAAAUCACUGCUUUAGCCCCCAGCAGCAUGAAGAUUAAGGUGGUUGCUCCACCAGAAAGAAAAUACAGUGUUUGGAUUGGAGGAUCUAUCCUUGCAUCCCUAAGCACUUUCCAGCAGAUGUGGAUUUCGAAAGGGGAGUAUGAGGAGUCUGGCCCAUCAAUUGUCCACAGGAAGUGCUUCUAAGAUGCUAUUACUACUAUUUUAAAGGCGAGUUUACUGUUUCCCCCCUGCUUUUGGGGUGGCCACUUGUGUUUGCCUCUUCUGCCUAGACGUGUCAUUGCUGGUAGGUGUUUGUAGUUGGAGAGUGAGUGGUUGUGAUGUUGUUUUCUUCAAUUUUCUUCUUUCUCUUCCCAAUUUCUUAUUAUAUGGGGCUCUUUUUAUCAACGGACAAGGUUAUGUUAAUAUUUAUUGUACCAGAAUUUUAUGCCAGUGAUUGUUUUGGGGAAUUAUGAGCCUAGCCAGAUUGAAAGGUUCCUAGGUUUUUUUCGUGUGGAUGUAGAAAUUUUUUGGGGGCUUAGCUCACCCAUCUAAAUUUGUGAAACUUUGUUUUGAA